AUGUCUCAGCUUUCCCCAACCCAUUCAGCUCCUGUUCCAGCUCUCAGCAGCAGCAGCAGCAGCCUGCCCUCUCUCCCAGUAACCCCUUCCACAGCUCCACCUCAGGAGAGUUGGGACGUCCCAAGGGGAAAAGGUCAAGAGUGUUCCAGUAGCAGUUUACAUGAAGGUGACUCCAGUGGGUUUGUCACCUCUCCCACUUCAGUGUUUCCUCCGUCUGCCAACUUCCCAGCUUCCACUACCCAGAAUGCAUUUACUCAUGAGCAUGCCAACAAACAGGAAACCAACAGUUUUACCUCUUUCCCUGCGCCGGACUCUCAGCCCAAAGUUCCUUGUCCAAUGUCAGUGAACCCAUUCACUGGGAAUGUUUACCCGAGUAGAGGAAUGUCGCGAAACCCUUUCAUCUGA
rnacentral:lncRNA from 1 species